AGAGCACAGAGAGAAUGCCUUGGCAUUGGGAGCCGAAGAAGGACGUGACAAGCUGCGAAAAGCUGCGGGGAGCUGCAAAUAAGCAAAGAUCCGCAGAUAUCCGAAUGGGGAAACCCUUACGGUGAAGAGCCGUAAAGCUUAUGCUGAAUAAAUAGGUAUAAGCAGGGAACCCGCCGAACUGAAACAUCUAAGUAGGCGGAGGAAAAGACAUCAAGCGAGAUUCCGCGAGUAGUGGCGAGCGAAAGCGGAGGAGGCCAAACCUAAAGUAGAAAUACUAUAGGGGUAAGGACUGCGAGAAGCAAGAGAUGAGCUAACAGAAUCACGUGGGAAAGUGAACCGAAGAAUGUGAGAGUCAUGUAAGUGAAAGCGAGUGGAAGCGAGCAGGAUCCGGAGUAGAUGCGGACACGAGGAAUCCGCAUUGAAGAGGGGGGGACCACCCUCCAAGCCUAAAUACUACCCAAUGACCGAUAGAGAAGAAGUACUGUGAAGGAAAGGUGAAAAGGACCCCUGGCGGGGAGUGAAAGAGAACCUGAAACUCUGUGUUUACAAGCACACAAAGCACGUCAAGGUGCGAUGUGGUACUUUUUGUAGAACGGUCCGGCGAGUUAUUGUAUGCAGCGAGGUUAAGUAUUAAAGAUACGGAGCCGAAGGGAAACCGAGGAUGAAAAGUCCGAAUGAGUUGCAUGUAAUAGACCCGAAACCGGGUGACCUAUCCAUGUCCAGGCUGAAGUUGAGGUAAAACUCAAUGGAGGGCCGAACCGACCCCCGUUGAAAAGUUGGCGGAUGAGGUGUGGAUAGCGGAGAAAUUCCAAUCGAACCCGGAUAUAGCUGGUUCUCCCCGAAAUAGCUUUAGGGCUAGCCUCGUAUAUAUUUACCGGAGGUAAAGCACUGAAUAGGCGAGGGGCCGAGAGGUUACCAACCCUUAUCAAACUAAGAAUGCCGGAUAAAUGAGUACGGGAGUCAGACUACGUGAGAUAAGUCUCGUGGUCAAAAGGGAAAGAGCCCAGAUCUACAGCUAAGGUCCCCAAUAUACACUAAGUGGAGAAGGAUGUGGCAAUGCGAAGACAACCAGGAUGUUGGCUUAGAAGCAGCCACUCAUUAAAAGAGUGCGUAAUAGCUCACUGGUCAAGUGAUGCUGCGCCGAAGAUAUAACGGGGCUAAGUGUAUAACCGAAGCUUAGGCAGUGAAAACUGGGUAGGGGAGCGUUCCAUAUAGGGAGAAGCAUAAGCGGAAGCGUAUGUGGACAGUAUGGAAGAGAGAAUGCCGGAAUGAGUAGCGAGAAUUGCGUGAGAAUCGUAAUGGCCGAAAAUCUAAGGGUUCCAGGGGUAGGUUCGUCCGCCCAAGGUAAGCCGGGAGCUAAGGCGAGGCCGAAAGGCGUAGUCGAUGCACAUACGGUAGAGAUUCCGUAGCCGCCGAAGAUUUAAGUAUGCUGACACAUGAGAAGAGAUUAAGCCGGGCGAUGGUAGACCCGGUCGAAAGGGACUGAAAAAGAAGUAGGGAAGUAAUCGAAUCUUGUGGCGAGAAAAGGCAUAAGGUAUAUCGAAGGCGCCCGUACCGCAAACCGACACAGGUAGAUGAGGAGAGAAUCCUAAGGCCAACGGGAGAAGGGUUGUUAAGGAACUCGGCAAAAUGACCCCGUAACUUCGGGAUAAGGGGAGCCUCAGAAAUGAGGCCGCAGUGAAAAGGCCCAGGCGACUGUUUAACAAAAACAUAGGUCUCUGCGAAACCGAAAGGUGAUGUAUAGGGGCUGACGCCUGCCCGGUGCCGGAAGGUCAAGGGGAACACUCAGAGAGAUCGAAGGUGUGAACUUAAGCCCCGGUAAACGGCGGCCGUAACUAUAACGGUCCUAAGGUAGCGAAAUUCCUUGUCAGGUAAGUUCUGACCCGCACGAAUGGCGUAACGAUCUGGGCACUGUCUCAACAGCCCGCCCGGCGAAAUUGUAGUACCGGUGAAGAUGCCGGUUACCCGCGACUAGACGGAAAGACCCCAUGGAGCUUUACUGUAGCCUGAUAUUGAGAUUCGUUUCAUUAUGUACAGGAUAGGUGGGAGACUAAGAAGCAUGUGCGUCAGCAUGUGUGGAGUCGACGUUGGGAUACCACUCU
rnacentral:rRNA from 1 species